UACGUAGGGUGCGAGCGUUAAUCGGAAUUACUGGGCGUAAAGCGUGCGCAGGCGGUUUUGUAAGCCAGAUGUGAAAUCCCCGGGCUUAACCUGGGAAUGGCAUUUGGGACUGCAAGGCUGGAGUGCGGCAGAGGAGACUGGAAUUCCUGGUGUAGCAGUGAAAUGCGUAGAUAAUCAGGAGGAACACCGAUGGCGAAGGCAGGUCUCUGGGCUGACACUGACGCUCAUGCACGAAAGCGU
rnacentral:rRNA from 1 species